UUGAGAUCAAGCGUCUGAAGGGCAUCUGGUGGAUGCCUUGGCACUGAGAGGCGAUGAAGGACGUAGCACGUUGCGAUAA
rnacentral:rRNA from 4 species